rnacentral:lncRNA from 1 species
CUGUGGAUCACCCAGGGCUUGUAAAAAAUUCAGAAUCUCCAGUUUUACCAUAAAUCUAAUAAAUCAGAAUUUGCAUUCUAACAAGAUUCCCAGGUGAUUCUUUUGCACAUUGCAGCUUGAGAAGCAAAAGACAUUCCUGUGAUUUAUAGUAUUAAGAUGGGGAAUCCACAACUCUUAAGAGGCAAAAUGAUGAGUUCAAGACCACAUAGCCAUUUUAGUGGUAAAAAUUGGACCAGAAAGCAAGUCUUUUAACCUCCGACCCCUUGUUUUCUCACUAGGUCUUGCUGCCUGUCACUACAUCACCCAGCUAUUUACCCUAUUUCGUAUAUACUAUGUGGUACCUCCUGCCAAGCCUUCUCCAUUUCAGUAAUUUUUACAGGCAAGACCACCAGUGAGGAAAUGGGACCAGCAAUGAACUCCAGGAAACCAAUAUUUCAGGAACACAUGGAAGAAAGGGAGUCAACAACAGCGAAGCUCGAAACAAUGUCGAGAGAGACUGAGAGAGAGAGAGAGAGAAAUAAAAUAACUGAGUUGUAAGAAGAGAAUGUCCAGGUAGGGACAAGGGAGAGGUGAAACAUGGGGAGUGGCGGGGGGAGAUUAGGUAACUGGGCAUUAUCCCUCUAGCCCAGGGUGGAUUGAGGGAUGGGGGGAGAAGGCUGUGCAACGCCAUACACUCCUAGAAAAAGAGAGGUGGGACAUUUCACCUGGAGAAAGACAUUUGUUGUUUAGUUUAUGACACAGGUGGAAUCAUCAUUAAUCCCUGGGACAGAGAACCA